UGCCCAAGAGAUCGGGAUAACACCUGGAAACAGAUGCUAAUACCGGAUAAUAACAGAUGAUGCCUAUCAACUGUUUAAAAGAUGGUUCUGCUAUCACUCUUGGAUGGACCUGCGGUGCAUUAGCUAGUUGGUAGGGUAACGGCCUACCAAGGCGAUGAUGCAUAGCCGAGUUGAGAGACUGAUCGGCCACAUUGGGACUGAGACACGGCCCAAACUCCUACGGGAGGCAGCAGNG
rnacentral:rRNA from 1 species